CUUUGAUCGUUGUUAAGAUUUGAGCCUUGGCUCCGGUUUUGAUAGCUCUAUAUCAACUUUCAGCGAGUUUUUGUUCUCGGACUUGGGAUCCACAGUCCAAAGUUGAUUGGUGGAUCAAGUGAACUUGGUGCAUCUCCAUUCAAGCUGGAGUACAAUUACCAGCCUGCUUGUUUAGCGCAGUCUCCACAAUCAUACAAGCAAAUGAGCAGCUGGCGACCCAACACACAAAGUUUCUAUCUUCUUAUUUUCUAUAUAAGUAGCAGCUGGCGCAGCGGUGGUGUUGAUGAACGACACCCAAUGCAGAGGCGGCAGUUACCAUAGGGAAGAGGUCAAGAACAUCUAGCUCUUGUGGUGUUCCUCCUCAUUAUUGUCAUCGCCAUCAACAGCAACAAUGACGACCGGCUCAUGAGACAGCUACUAGAGAGGGAGCGAGGAAGGGGGAGACAGAUCUUUCAGGUACAAUGGAUCUCGGUCAAAAAUCACCUAAGGAAAAUAUGCUGUUCUUCUCUACAAGGGUUGCAUGUGGAAUUUGAGGAGAAUCUGUGCACCAGCAUCCGACUCCUUGAUGUUGCUCUGAUCAUAUUGUGUAAAUAUAUUUCUAAUAAAGCA